rnacentral:lncRNA from 1 species
GAGCCGCCAUGUUGACUUGCUGAAAUCAGUAAAUGUGCGAAUAAUGCAAUAGAACAGAAAACAAGCAACACCUACCUCAAUACUUUAUUUUAAUGCAAUUGUAUCCGAGUUUAGAAGGUAAACGCAAUAGAAAAACCUUCAGCUUUGACGUUUUCAUUCGUAUGACGUCAUGUUUUGAAAUGACGUUAAUGCUCAAAAAUCAUUACUGGAAUUUCGCGGAAUUUUAAUUUAUUUUGUUUUUGUCCAUUUUUCCGUUCUCUAAUGUGUAAAUUCUUUUUGUUAUGCAUCAGAAUCAGAAUAAAUGUUCUGUAGGGUUUUAUUCAAGUGUAAUUGUUAACACAGCGAAAUCCACAACCGUUUACACAUAGGUUACGAUACAUGUGGAUUUACGUGGGAGGCAUAUUUAAACAGCCAUUUGUGUACAUCUUGGAGUCUGCGCUAAGUAUAGAUAUAUCGAGAAUUUUAUCACGGUGUUGUUUACAAAGCGAAAGAAGCACGUCAUAUUAGAAUCCUAAAGAA